rnacentral:rRNA from 1 species
CCUACGGGCGACAGCAGUGGGGAAUAUUGCACAAUGGGGGAAACCCUGAUGCAGCAACGCCGCGUGAGUGAAGAAGGUUUUCGGAUUGUAAAGCUCUGUUAGCAGGGAAGAGGAAGGACGGUACCUGCAGAGGAAGCCACGGCUAACUACGUGCCAGCAGCCGCGGUAAUACGUAGGUGGCAAGCGUUGUUCGGAAUAACUGGGCGUAAAGGAUGCGUAGGCGGUUAAACAAGUUAUAUGUUAAAUAUAUAGGCUUAACCUGUAGAAAGCAUAUAAAACUGUUUAACUAGAGUGCAGGAGAGGUAAGUGGAAUUCCUAGUGUAGCGGUGAAAUGCGUAGAUAUCACGCAGAACUCCGAUUGCGAAGGCAGCAUACCGGCGCCCAACUGACGCUGAAGCACGAAAGCGUGGGUAUCGAACAGGAUUAGAUACCCGGGUAGUC